UACGGAGGGUGCGAGCGUUAAGCGGAAUUCCUGGGCGUAAGGCGCGCGUAGGAGGCUUGGUAAGCCGGUUGUGAAAGCCCCGGGCUCAACCUGGGAACGGCAUCCGGAACUGUCAGGCAAGAGUGCAGGAGAGGAAGGUAGAAUUCCCGGUGUAGCGGUGAAAUGCGUAGAGAUCGGGAGGAAUACCAGUGGCGAAGGCGGCCUUCUGGACUGACACUGACGCGGAGGUGCGAAAGCGUGGGUAGCAAACAGG
rnacentral:misc_RNA from 1 species